GACGAACGCUGGCGGCGUGCCUAACACAUGCAAGUCGAACGAGGUCCAAGGAAGCUUGCUUCCUGAAGACCUAGUGGCGAACGGGUGAGUAACACGUGAGAAACCUGCCUCGGAGUGGGGAAUAACUCGGGGAAACUCGAGCUAAUACCGCAUACCUUCACAUGAUCGCAUGGUCGAGUGAAGAAAGAAUUUCGCUCUGAGAGGGUCUCGCGGCCUAUCAGCUUGUUGGUGGGGUAACGGCCUACCAAGGCAACGACGGGUAGCUGGUUUGAGAGAACGAUCAGCCACACUGGGACUGAGACACGGCCCAGACUCCUACGGGAGGCAGCAGUGGGGAAUCUUGCGCAAUGGGCGAAAGCCUGACGCAGCAACGCCGCGUGCGGGAUGACGGCCUUCGUGGUUGUAAACCGCUUUCAGC
rnacentral:rRNA from 1 species